rnacentral:rRNA from 1 species
UUUGUGGAGAGUUUGAUCCUGGCUCAGGAUGAACGCUGGCGGCGUGCUUAACACAUGCAAGUCGAACGGAAAGGCCAGUGCUUGCACUGGUACUCGAGUGGCGAACGGGUGAGUAACACGUGGGUGAUCUGCCCCGCACUUCGGGAUAAGCCUGGGAAACUGGGUCUAAUACCGGAUAGGACCACUUCUUGGAGGUUGUGGUG